UAAAAGGUCCUUUUCAGGGCCACCCAAAUAUAAAAAAAAAAAUCU
rnacentral:ncRNA from 1 species